rnacentral:rRNA from 1 species
CAUGCAAGUCAGCUUGCCUCGCAAGAGGUUGGCGGCAAACUGCUCAGUAACACGUCGAUAAUCUAACUUUAGGUCUGGAAUAACCUUGGGAAACUGAGGCUAAUACCGGGCACGGAAACGGCACUGGAAUGUCCAUUUCCUUAAAGCUUCGGCGCCUAAAGAUGGGUCGGCGGCCCAUCAGGUAGUUGGCGGGGUAAAGGCCCACCAAGCCUAAGACGGGUAGGGGCCAUGAGAGUGGUUGCCCCGAGAAGGACACUGAGAUACUGGUCCUAGCCCUACGGGGUGCAGCAGUUGCGAAAACUUUACAAUGCACGAAAGUGUGAUAAGGGAAUCCCGAGUGCUUAUGCAUUGCAUAGGCUUUUGCCAAGAGCAA